ACUGCGCGCUGGAGCCUGAGGAGAACAUGCUGCGCGCGGCGCGCUCCUCUUGGGACUUUCAUCAAACACCUUGCGAUGCGAGGGUCAAUUUCUUCCACUCUAAUGGCCGAUUCCAGGGUUGAAGGGGUCACUUGACCACCCUUGCUCCUCUGUGGAUCCGUCCCUUCGAGCACUCAAGGCGGAUACAAACCUUUGCCAGCGGCAGCGGUGGCGGUACAUCAUCACAGUCUGUGACGACAAACGUAUUUGAUCCCAGUUCCACCUCAGCGCACACGAACAGCUGAUAAGAGGAAGAACAACCACUGGAAGCUUGCUUCGGGAAUUGGUUGAAGCGAACCAAUAUAGCACCGAAGAUUUGUUCGUACAAGUGAACGGCUUUCAUAGCCGUAGGUGGGCGGCACCACCAGCUGUGGCGUCACCUUCGUGAUCGCAUUCAUUGUCAUUGAUUAAGAGCUAAUUGCAGGAGUAGAGAGAUAAUUGCAGGAGGAGAGAGAUGAGGGAGAAAGAGAGAGGCAAUGGCAGAUUUGAAAAUGAAAAUGAGGCGCGAUUUUCCUUGGGUUUGUUUAUAUAACAGAAGAGAAGAGUGAGGAAAAGCAUGCUGAUCUGUCUAUUUGAAUCUUGAUAUUCAAUUUUUAUUUAAUUCAUGCUUUUCAUACGAGUGUUCGUACGGGAAGUCGGCGCCCAGUACCAUUCGCAAGAUUCAGCGAACGACGCCGUAUUACUAAAGGAACCGAGCGCCGGUUUUGCAGUUUCUAGUACGUUCGCGGCGAGUGCAACAGAGGUGUGCUGAGUGUGCUUAUAGGCACUAGAUGCCCAUCACUGGGGAGUUGUCAAGGCAAAAUAUCAAGGAUCGUUCGUUACUAUGGAGUUAUGAUCUGAUGGCGAAGAAGCUACUUAACAAGGCUGGAGAGAUAAAGAAGAGAUUGAAAAGUUGUCUAAAGACCCAAGAAUAGGAGAAAGGAUUAUCAAGUCCUUUGUGCCAUCAGCCUAUGGCCAUGAGGACAUAAAGACUGCAAUAGCUCUUGCCAUGUUUGGAGGCCAAGAGAAAAAUGUCGAGGGAAAACACCGACUCCGAGGGGAUAUAAAUGUCCUUCUCCUAGGUGAUCCUGGCACGGCAAAAUCACAGUUUAUUAAGUAAAAGCUACUGCCAUCAGUUAAAAGUGAAUCAAUUUUCUGUCUCACAAGGUAUGUUAAAAAGACUGGGCAGAGAGCUGUGUAUACUACUCGUAAAGGAGCAUCUGCUGUGGGACUCACAGCUGCUGUGCACAAGGAUCCUGUUACAAGGGAGUGGAACCUUGAAGGACCAGCUCUUGUUCUUGCUGACAAGGGAAUAUGCCUUAUUGAUGAAUUUGACAAAAUGAAUGAUCAGGAUA